UCCACGCCGUAAACGAUGGAUACUCGUUCUUGGCAAUACACAGUCAGGGACUGAGCGAAAGCAUUAAGUAUCCCACCUGGGGAGUACGUUCGCAAGAAUGAAACUCAAAGGAAUUGACGGGGGCCCGCACAAGCGGAGGAACAUGUGGUUUAAUUCGAUGAUACGCGAGGAACCUUACCUGGGCUUAAAUGUCAGGCAUUUUCGGAUGUAGUCUGUCGAAAGACAGCUUAAAC
rnacentral:rRNA from 1 species